AGUCGAGGGGAAACGGCAUCGAGCGCUUGCGCCUGAUGGACGUCGACCGGCGCACGGGUGAGUAACGCGUAUCCAACCUGCCCCACACUAAGGGACAACCCGCAGAAAUGUGGGCUAAUACCUUAUAUUUUCCACCAAGGGCAUCGUCGAUGGAACAAAGAUUUAUCGGUAUGGGAUGGGGAUGCGUCCGAUUAGGUUGUUGGCGGGGUAACGGCCCACCAAGCCAUCGAUCGGUAGGGGUUCUGAGAGGAAGGUCCCCCACAUAGGAACUGAGACACGGUCCUAACUCCUACGGGAGGCAGCAGUGAGGAAUAUUGGUCAAUGGGCGGGAGCCUGAACCAGCCAAGUAGCGUGCAGGAAGACGGCCCUAUGGGUUGUAAACUGCUUUUAUGCGGGGAUAAAGGAGUCCACGUGUGGGCUUUUGCAGGUACCGCAUGAAUAAGGACCGGCUAAUUCCGUGCCAGCAGCCGCGGUAAUACGGAAGGUCCGGGCGUUAUCCGGAUUUAUUGGGUUUAAAGGGAGCGUAGGCCGCGUUUUAAGCGUGUUGUGAAAUGUAGGCGCCCAACGUCUGCAUCGCAGCGCGAACUGGAACGCUUGAGUACGCGCAACGCUGGCGGAAUUCGUCGUGUAGCGGUGAAAUGCUUAGAUAUGACGAAGAACUCCGAUUGCGAAGGCAGCUGACGGGAGCGGCACUGACGCUUAAGCUCGAAGGUGCGGGUAUCAAACAGGAUUAGAUACCCUGGUAGUCCGCACGGUAAACGAUGGAUGCUCGCUGUGUGCCUUUUGUGGUACGCGGCUAAGCGAAAGCGUUAAGCAUCCCACCUGGGGAGUACGCCGGCAACGGUGAAACU
rnacentral:rRNA from 1 species